CCUACGGGUGGCAGCAGUGGGGAAUAUUGCACAAUGGGGGAAACCCUGAUGCAGCGACGCCGCGUGAGUGAAGAAGUAAUUCGUUACGUAAAGCUCUAUCAGCAGGGAAGAAACACUGACCUUACGGUCAGCAGACGGUACCUGAGUAAGAAGCCCCGGCUAACUACGUGCCAGCAGCCGCGGUAAUACGUCGGGGGCAAGCGUUAUCCGGAUUUACUGGGUGGGAAGGGAGCGUAGACGGUGCGCCAAGUCUGGAGUGAAAUGCCGGAGCUUAACUGCGUAACUGCUUUGGAAACUGGCGAACUAGAGCGCGGGAGGGGUAAGCGGAAUUCCUAGUGUAGCGGUGAAAUGCGUAGAUAUUAGGAGGAACACCGGUGGCGAAGGCGGCUUACUGGACCGUAACUGACGUUGAGGCUCGAAAGCGUGGGGAGCAAACAGGAUUAGAUACCCGUGUAGUC
rnacentral:rRNA from 1 species